UACUGCAUCAGGAACUGAUUGGAUAAGAAUGGGUCACCAUCAGUUCCUAAUGCAUUGCC
rnacentral:pre_miRNA from 1 species